rnacentral:lncRNA from 1 species
CCUGAUUUAUUAUCCCUGCUCCCACACACAGACCAGCGUUCUUCCCGGGAAGAAAAGCUGGAGACAGUCCCUUGGAAACAGCCAAGUGUUUGUCUGUGCUUUCAUUCCUCGGAGCAGAGGGAGAAAGGGAAAAAAAUACAGCAGGGAGAGCUUGAAAAAUCCGAGCAAUCAGAGGCACUUCCAGGGCUGGACGACAACAAGGAUUCAGGGCUUCUGUGGGGAAGGGUGGGCUGGAGACCUGAGGAGUUCUGCACAUUCCAAAAAACAAACAGCAGACUCAUCCUUGGGGGUUUGUUUGCAGAACUGCAGGAACCAGAGAUGGAAGAGACCCAUUAACUCAUCUGUCUGUUCCCUCCAGGGCAGAGCAGGGUUUCUCCCUGAGGGGGUUAUUUUUAGCACUCUGUCGAGCAGAGUUUUCAGCGUCUCAUGACAUGGAGGUUUCUUUUCCAGGGAUUUAGAGCGAGCCCUGCCUGGGAAGGAAGGAGGCAACGGAGCCUCAGCUCUCCAGGGAUCUUUGUUCUUACAGAGAAGAAGAAAUGUGACAAUUGCUCUGGAAGAAGCUUCACACGGGCAUCCCACAUCCCAGGAGAUGUCAUACACCCUUGGAUGACUGGCACCUGUCCCCAGGCUCAGCAGGCAGAGAACCUGCCAAAUCUUAAUUUUUCCAGUUUGCAAGUAAGAGCCUCUAAACCAUCUGUUUGCUGUCAACUGAUGUUUGUUUGGAGAGGGAUUUUAUUAUUUUUUUCCAUCUCGCACUCCUGUUCCUACAACUAGUUUACUGAACUCCAUAAACGUCAGCUCUCACAGUUGUUUUGUGAGCCAGUUAUGAUUUAGGAUUUAAUCAAAAUUGAGCAGUCAGUGUCUUUAAUCAAUAGGAAUGGAGAUCAAAAACAAAGGAACGGGGAGUGAGGAAUGAAACAUUUAAUGUGUCCCCACCGCCUUUGAAAGCGCCUGAUUUGCACCGUAAUGGCAACCAGGGAUCGUUAGAACAACCCUUAAAGAAACCCAC